GCUAACCCCGUGCCAGAGGCGGGGGGAUAGUGGAGGGGUGAACGUUUAUCCGGGUUUAUUGGGUUUAAAGGGUCCUUAGGCGUGCGUAUAAGUCAGUGGUGAAAGCCGGCAGCUUAACUGUCGAACUGCCAUUGAUACUGUAAGUCUUGAGUGUAUUUGAAGUGGCUGGAAUAAGUAGUGUAGCGGUGAAAUGCAUAGAUAUUACUUAGAACACCAAUUGCGAAGGCAGGUCACUAAGAUACAACUGACGCUGAUGGACGAAAGCGUGGGGAGCGAACAGGAUUAGAUACCCGAGUAGUC
rnacentral:rRNA from 1 species